rnacentral:rRNA from 1 species
GAUGAACGCUGGCGGCGUGCCUAAUACAUGCAAGUCGAGCGAACGGACGAGAAGCUUGCUUCUCUGAUGUUAGCGGCGGACGGGUGAGUAACACGUGGAUAACCUACCUAUAAGACUGGGAUAACUUCGGGAAACCGGAGCUAAUACCGGAUAAUAUUUUGAACCGCAUGGUUCAAAAGUGAAAGACGGUCUUGCUGUCACUUAUAGAUGGAUCCGCGCUGCAUUAGCUAGUUGGUAAGGUAACGGCUUACCAAGGCAACGAUGCAUAGCCGACCUGAGAGGGUGAUCGGCCACACUGGAACUGAGACACGGUCCAGACUCCUACGGGAGGCAGCAGUAGGGAAUCUUCCGCAAUGGGCGAAAGCCUGACGGAGCAACGCCGCGUGAGUGAUGAAGGUCUUCGGAUCGUAAAACUCUGUUAUUAGGGAAGAACAUAUGUGUAAGUAACUGUGCACAUCUUGACGGUACCUAAUCAGAAAGCCACGGCUAACUACGUGCCAGCAGCCGCGGUAAUACGUAGGUGGCAAGCGUUAUCCGGAAUUAUUGGGCGUAAAGCGCGCGUAGGCGGUUUUUUAAGUCUGAUGUGAAAGCCCACGGCUCAACCGUGGAGGGUCAUUGGAAACUGGAAAACUUGAGUGCAGAAGAGGAAAGUGGAAUUCCAUGUGUAGCGGUGAAAUGCGCAGAGAUAUGGAGGAACACCAGUGGCGAAGGCGACUUUCUGGUCUGUAACUGACGCUGAUGCGCGAAAGCGUGGGGAUCAAACAGGAUUAGAUACCCUGGUAGUCCACGCCGUAAACGAUGAGUGCUAAGUGUUAGGGGGUUUCCGCCCCUUAGUGCUGCAGCUAACGCAUUAAGCACUCCGCCUGGGGAGUACGACCGCAAGGUUGAAACUCAAAGGAAUUGACGGGGACCCGCACAAGCGGUGGAGCAUGUGGUUUAAUUCGAAGCAACGCGAAGAACCUUACCAAAUCUUGACAUCCUUUGACAACUCUAGAGAUAGAGCCUUCCCCUUCGGGGGACAAAGUGACAGGUGGUGCAUGGUUGUCGUCAGCUCGUGUCGUGAGAUGUUGGGUUAAGUCCCGCAACGAGCGCAACCCUUAAGCUUAGUUGCCAUCAUUAAGUUGGGCACUCUAAGUUGACUGCCGGUGACAAACCGGAGGAAGGUGGGGAUGACGUCAAAUCAUCAUGCCCCUUAUGAUUUGGGCUACACACGUGCUACAAUGGACAAUACAAAGGGCAGCGAAACCGCGAGGUCAAGCAAAUCCCAUAAAGUUGUUCUCAGUUCGGAUUGUAGUCUGCAACUCGACUACAUGAAGCUGGAAUCACUAGUAAUCGUAGAUCAGCAUGCUACGGUGAAUACGUUCCCGGGUCU